rnacentral:tRNA from 1 species
AGGGUUAUAGUUAAUUAUAACAUUAAAUUUGCAUUUUAAAAUUAUUGAAAAUCAAUUAACCUUU